rnacentral:rRNA from 1 species
AUUGAACGCUGGCGGCAGGCCUAACACAUGCAAGUCGAACGAGUGGCGGACGGGAGAGUAAUGUAUGGGAAACUGCCAGAUGGAGGGGGAUAACUACUGGAAACGGUAGCCCAUACCGCAUACCAUCGGAUGUGCCCAGAUGGGCUUAGCUAGUAUGUGGGGUAAAGGCUCCCCUAGGCGCCGAUCCCUAGCUGGUCUGAGAGGAUGCCCAGCCACACUGUAACUGAGACACGGUCACGACUCCUACGGGAGGCAGCAGUGGGGAAGAUUGCACAAUGGGCGCAAGCCUGGUGCAGCGAGGCCGCGUGGAUGAAGAAGGCCUUCGGGUUGUAAAGUACUUUCAGCGGGGAGGCGUGACCCGCAGAAGAAGCACCGGCUAACUCCGUGCCAGCAGCCGCGGUAAUUC